UAUACGACCGUACCGCAAACCGACACUGGUGCGCGAGAUGAGUAUUCUAAGGCGCUUGAGAGAACUCAGGAGAAGGAACUCGGCAAAUUGACACCGUAACUUCGGAAGAAGGUGUGCCCUAUUAGUGUGUAGUGAACAACGAAGCAUGAAUGGGUUGCAAAAAAUCGGUGGCUGCGACUGUUUAUUAAAAACACAGCACUCUGCAAACACGAAAGUGGACGUAUAGGGUGUGACGCCUGCCCGGUGCUGGAAGAUUAAAUGAUGGGGUGCAAGCUCUUGAUUCAAGUCCCAGUAAACGGCGGCCGUAACAAUAACGGUCCUAAGGUAGCGAAAUUCCUUGUCGGGUAAGUUCCGACCUGCACGAAUGGCGUAACGAUGGCCACACUGUCUCCUCCUGAGACUCAGCGAAGUUGAAAUGUUUGUGAUGAUGCAAUCUCCCCGCGGAAAGACGGAAAGACCCCAUGAACCUUUACUGUAGCUUUGUAUUGGACUUUGAACAGAUCUGUGUAGGAUAGGUGGGAGGCUUUGAAGCAGGGUCGCUAGAUCUUGUGGAGCCAACGUUGAAAUACCACCCUGGUGUGUUUGAGGUUCUAACCUAGGUCCAUUAUCUGGAUCGGGGACAGUGCAUGGUAGGCAGUUUGACUGGGGCGGUCUCCUCCCAAAGCGUAACGGAGGAGUUCGAAGGUACGCUAGUUACGGUCGGACAUCGUGACGAUAGUGCAAUGGCAUAAGCGUGCUUAACUGCGAGACUGACAAGUCGAGCAGAUGCGAAAGCAGGACAUAGUGAUCCGGUGGUUCUGUAUGGAAGGGCCAUCGCUCAACGGAUAAAAGGUACUCUGGGGAUAACAGGCUGAUACCGCCCAAGAGUUCAUAUCGACGGCGGUGUUUGGCACCUCGAUGUCGGCUCAUCUCAUCCUGGGGCUGUAGCCGGUCCCAAGGGUAUGGCUGUUCGCCAUUUAAAGAGGUACGUGAGCUGGGUUUAAAACGUCGUGAGACAGUUUGGUCCCUAUCUUCCGUGGGCGCUGCAGAUUUGAGGAAGCCUGCUCCUAGUACGAGAGGACCGGAGUGGACACACCUCUGGUGUAUCGGUUGUCACGCCAGUGGCAUUGCCGAGUAGCUAAGUGUGGAAGAGAUAACCGCUGAAAGCAUCUAAGCGGGAAACUCGUUUCAAGAUGAGAUCUGCCGGGGCCUUGAGCCCCCUAAAGAGUCGUUCAAGACCAGGACGUUGAUAGGUCAGGUGUGGAAGCG
rnacentral:rRNA from 1 species